rnacentral:rRNA from 1 species
GUACACAAAAAUGCACAUGCUGUGAGCUCGAUGAGUAGGGCGGGACACGUGGUAUCCUGUCUGAAUAUGGGGGGACCAUCCUCCAAGGCUAAAUACUCCUGACUGACCGAUAGUGAACCAGUACCGUGAGGGAAAGGCGAAAAGAACCCCGGCGAGGGGAGUGAAAAAGAACCUGAAACCGUGUACGUACAAGCAGUGGGAGCACGCUUAGGCGUGUGACUGCGUACCUUUUGUAUAAUGGGUCAGCGACUUAUAUUCUGUAGCAAGGUUAACCGAAUAGGGGAGCCGAAGGGAAACCGAGUCUUAACUGGGCGUUAAGUUGCAGGGUAUAGACCCGAAACCCGGUGAUCUAGCCAUGGGCAGGUUGAAGGUUGGGUAACACUAACUGGAGGACCGAACCGACUAAUGUUGAAAAAUUAGCGGAUGACUUGUGGCUGGGGGUGAAAGGCCAAUCAAACCGGGAGAUAGCUGGUUCUCCCCGAAAGCUAUUUAGGUAGCGCCUCGUGAAUUCAUCUCCGGGGGUAGAGCACUGUUUCGGCAAGGGGGUCAUCCCGACUUACCAACCCGAUGCAAACUGCGAAUACCGGAGAAUGUUAUCACGGGAGACACACGGCGGGUGCUAACGUCCGUCGUGAAGAGGGAAACAACCCAGACCGCCAGCUAAGGUCCCAAAGUCAUGGUUAAGUGGGAAACGAUGUGGGAAGGCCCAGACAGCCAGGAUGUUGGCUUAGAAGCAGCCAUCAUUUAAAGAAAGCGUAAUAGCUCACUGGUCGAGUCGGCCUGCGCGGAAGAUGUAACGGGGCUAAACCAUGCACCGAAGCUGCGGCAGCGACACUAUGUGUUGUUGGGUAGGGGAGCGUUCUGUAAGCCUGUGAAGGUGUACUGUGAGGUAUGCUGGAGGUAUCAGAAGUGCGAAUGCUGACAUAAGUAACGAUAAAGCGGGUGAAAAGCCCGCUCGCCGGAAGACCAAGGGUUCCUGUCCAACGUUAAUCGGGGCAGGGUGAGUCGACCCCUAAGGCGAGGCCGAAAGGCGUAGUCGAUGGGAAACAGGUUAAUAUUCCUGUACUUGGUGUUACUGCGAAGGGGGGACGGAGAAGGCUAUGUUGGCCGGGCGACGGUUGUCCCGGUUUAAGCGUGUAGGCUGGUUUUCCAGGCAAAUCCGGAAAAUCAAGGCUGAGGCGUGAUGACGAGGCACUACGGUGCUGAAGCAACAAAUGCCCUGCUUCCAGGAAAAGCCUCUAAGCAUCAGGUAACAUCAAAUCGUACCCCAAACCGACACAGGUGGUCAGGUAGAGAAUACCAAGGCGCUUGAGAGAACUCGGGUGAAGGAACUAGGCAAAAUGGUGCCGUAACUUCGGGAGAAGGCACGCUGAUAUGUAGGUGAAGUCCCUCGCGGAUGGAGCUGAAAUCAGUCGAAGAUACCAGCUGGCUGCAACUGUUUAUUAAAAACACAGCACUGUGCAAACACGAAAGUGGACGUAUACGGUGUGACGCCUGCCCGGUGCCGGAAGGUUAAUUGAUGGGGUCAGCGCAAGCGAAGCUCUUGAUCGAAGCCCCGGUAAACGGCGGCCGUAACUAUAACGGUCCUAAGGUAGCGAAAUUCCUUGUCGGGUAAGUUCCGACCUGCACGAAUGGCGUAAUGAUGGCCAGGCUGUCUCCACCCGAGACUCAGUGAAAUUGAACUCGCUGUGAAGAUGCAGUGUACCCGCGGCAAGACGGAAAGACCCCGUGAACCUUUACUAUAGCUUGACACUGAACAUUGAGCCUUGAUGUGUAGGAUAGGUGGGAGGCUUUGAAGUGUGGACGCCAGUC